rnacentral:misc_RNA from 1 species
GUAGGUGAACCUGCGGAGGGAUCAUUACCGAGUUCGUGCCCUUCGGGGUAGACCUCCCACCCUGUGUUAUCACUACCUUUGUUGCUUUGGCGGGCCGUCAGGCCUCGGCCUGACUACCGGCUUCCGCUGGUACGCGCCCGCCAGAGGACCCAAACCCUAAAUAUUAGUGUCGUCUGAGUACUAUAUAAUAGUUAAAACUUUCAACAACGGAUCUCUUGGUUCUG